rnacentral:pre_miRNA from 1 species
UUCACAAACCUCACUCAAAUUGAGGGGCCCCUCCACUUCCUCGAGGAAGUGGAGGGGCCCCUCAUUUUGAGUGAGGUUUGUGAA